GUGGAGGAGCGUGGUGCGGGGAAGGGAACGACGAUAGAUCUCGCGGCGCUCGAUGGCACCUGGAGGCUGUGUUACACAUCGGCAUCAGACGUGCUUGUGCUGUUCGAGGCGGCUGAGAGGCUUCCACUCCUGCAGGUGGGCCAAAUAUACCAGAAAUUUGAGUGCAAAGAUCGAUCAGAUGGUGGAAUUGUGAGGAAUGUUGUAAGGUGGAGCAUCGAGAACUUGCUGGAGCACAACUGCUGGUACUUAAAUGCAUGGACCUUGGAAUAUAUAAAGAGUAUGACAGUUGGAGG